CCUACGGGGGACAGCAGUGGGGAAUAUUGCACAAUGGGGGGAACCCUGAUGCAGCGACGCCGCGUGAGUGAAGAAGUAUCUCGGUAUGUAAAGCUCUAUCAGCAGGGAAGAAGAUGACGGUACCUGACUAAGAAGCCCCGGCUAACUACGUGCCAGCAGCCGCGGUAAUACGUAGGGGGCAAGCGUUAUCCGGAUUUACUGGGUGUAAAGGGAGCGUAGACGGCAGGGCAAGUCUGGAGUGAAAGCCCGGGGCCCAACCGCGGGACUGCAUUGGAAACUGGCAUGCUAGAGUGCUGGUGAGGUAAGCGGAAGUCGUGGUGUAGCGGUGAAAUGCGUAGAUAUUAGGAGGAACACCAGUGGCGAAGGCAGCUUACUAGACAGUAACUGACGUUGAGGCUCGAAAGCGUGGGGAGCAAACAGGAUUAGAUACCCGUGUAGUC
rnacentral:rRNA from 1 species